UACUGAUUGAGUUAAUUGAGGGAUCUGUAAUUGAGAAACGAAACCCUUUUCCAAUAGUUAAAACCCUAAAAAGUUGUUGCGAGUGAUGAAACUAAUCUCCAUCGUAGAGGUUUGCUUUGUUUCUCAACUGCCGCUGUUUGAUCCGGUGGCUGGUAGGAUACUACGGCAGCUUUGUGGUUUAUAUUGUUCUUACAUUCGAAAUUCGUCGGUGUCUUAUCAGAAUAUGUGAUUGAACUUAUCGGCUUUUUUUGGUACAUUUGGCUUGGACAGAGGAACAACCACGAGACUAGCCUUGAUUUCUUUAUUGGGUCUCCCUGCAGUAGAUCCAAGAUGGUUUGAAGGAUGGACAAAAGGUUUCUCCCUAUCAAGUGAUGAUAUAUUUUGCUAUCUGGGAACAUGUUUAUUCUCUUGAUGAGAGAGGGAUCUUCUUCAAAGCAGUGAUUGUAAACAGAUACUGAUUGUGAAUAUAUUUCGUUUUACACUUUAUCAGGUUUGGGGCUGAAUGCUUCUACUACUGCUGCCAAUCUAUCUAAAGAGAAGGACGAGAUGUUUGCCUCCUGUUGAAGACAGUGCAGGCAAUGAAGCUCUUUGCGUUGCUGCAAACAUUGAACUUGAUGGAAGUAUUAUAACAUGUGAUACGAAAUCAUGGAAACGAAAAGAGUCAAAGCCUAUAAAAAACAAAUCUAUAUUAGCUUUUAAUGUCUCAGCUGAUGCGAAGCUGCUUGCGAUCAUUUUUCCCAAUAGGGAGUGAGACCAUAUGUGAUGGGGCAGAUCUUGGUUUUCUAUAUAAUGGCCCUGAGAAAAUAUUUUAUUUGGCCAUUUUCAAUUGUAUGAGACUGCUUGCCUUAGUGACUGCAUGAACACCCGUUUCCUCGCGGUUCACAGGCGGAUAAGGAUAAGAAAAAGACAGAGGGAUAGAAGAAUCAGUAACAGACAUAUCGAAUUGAUGAGAUUAAGAAGAAUUAGAGAAGAAGAAAGGAAGAGAUAAUGUGUCGGUUUUAGUUUUUUUUGGGUAAAUAACCUUUAUCUUAUGUACCUUUUUGGUGUCUUAUACUAAGCAUUGUCAUUUUUCCUUUUUUAAGUAACCACCAAUUUGGUUUCUCCA